AUCCGGAUCGAGGACAGUGUAUGGUGGGCAGUUUGACUGGGGCGGUCUCCUCCUAAAGAGUAACGGAGGAGUACGAAGGUGCGCUCAGACCGGUCGGAAAUCGGUCGUAGAGUAUAAAGGCAAAAGCGCGCUUGACUGCGAGACAGACACGUCGAGCAGGUACGAAAGUAGGUCUUAGUGAUCCGGUGGUUCUGUAUGGAAGGGCCAUCGCUCAACGGAUAAAAGGUACUCCGGGGAUAACAGGCUGAUACCGCCCAAGAGUUCAUAUCGACGGCGGUGUUUGGCACCUCGAUGUCGGCUCAUCACAUCCUGGGGCUGAAGCCGGUCCCAAGGGUAUGGCUGUUCGCCAUUUAAAGUGGUACGCGAGCUGGGUUUAGAACGUCGUGAGACAGUUCGGUCCCUAUCUGCCGUGGACGUUUGAGAUUUGAGAGGGGCUGCUCCUAGUACGAGAGGACCGGAGUGGACGAACCUCUGGUGUUCCGGUUGUCACGCCAGUGGCAUUGCCGGGUAGCUAUGUUCGGAAAAGAUAACCGCUGAAAGCAUCUAAGCGGGAAACUUGCCUCAAGAUGAGAUCUCACUGGGAACUUGAUUCCCCUGAAGGGCCGUCGAAGACUACGACGUUGAUAGGCUGGGUGUGUAAGCGUUGUGAGGCGUUGAGCUAACCAGUACUAAUUGCCCGUGAGGCUUGACCAU
rnacentral:rRNA from 1 species